CAGGGAAUGCAGCUGCCAGCAGCUCCAGAGAAAAUAUUCAUAAUGGUUAACAGCUGAGAGAUUCAGGAGACUGCCUGACUCCACCACUCACUAGCUUGACCAUGAGCAAAUUCCUUAACUGCCUUUUGCCUCUGUCCUCUUUUUAAUUUUUUUGAGGCACAGUAUCUCCAUGUUGCCUAGCCUGGUCUCGAACUCCUGGGCUCAAGUGAUCCUCCUGCCUUGGCUUCUGGAGUAGCUGGGACGACAGUUCUGUGAAUCGAGAAGUUACCAGAAGAGAAAUCCCAGGAGAGGACUGGGGCUGUUCCAGCUUGGGUGAAGGUCCAGGUGGCCAGGAGUUUGGAACACUAAGAUUGGCCUAGCCUGGGUCCCAAGCCCACGUUGGUGGUGGGGAUGAUGCGGCUCGGGAGGUGUCGAUCAAGUGUUACCAGAAAGUGGCAAGAAGGAGCUGUUCAUUUGCUCAUCCAGCAACUUAAAGAGCACCCAGAAUACACUAGACAAUAAAGACGGAGCAAUUACCAGGACAGAGAAAGCAAUAUCCCCUUGAGUUUGAGCAUACAACAUGUCAAGAAACUACAGACAAGAACAAACCCAGGAAAUUAAGAAGAUAGCCCAGUAAAAUGCUGGAAUACAGAUGUGUUGCUGACCAGCAAGCUCUGACCUUGUAUGAACAAAUACAGUAUCUAAAGGGAUGGCAGAGCAACCCAGUCAAAGGAACUGACUUCCUGAAUGAGCCUGCAUUCUAGAGCCACCCCAGCUCUGGAAUGCUCAUACCUAACUGUUCCCUGGAGAAAUGCCAACUUCUCUCUUGUUUGAAACACUGCAUUUUGGAUUUUCUUUUUAAUCAGUAUGAUCUGUAUUCUAACCAACACAAUGAGUUUCAGUCUCUUCUUCCCACUCUGCACACCACUGGUUCUAUUUGAAGACCUUCUUAAUAAGAUGAAUAGAUUCCUAGUGAAGCACACUCUUUCUACUAAAUAUAAGAUUCACUUUGUCUCAUACUGGGUGCUCUGCAGCCAGACUGCUUGAGUUUGUGUCUCAGGUGUCCUUUUACUUUCUAUAUGUGACCUUGACAAUGUUAGUCAACCUCUCUGUGUCUCAUGUUUCUCAUUUGUAAAAUGGAGAUUAAAAUAGUUUCUUCCUUCUCAGGUUGUUGGGAGAUUAGAUGAGAAUCUUAGUCUGUUCAGGUAUAACAAAAUAAUAUCAACUGGGUGGCUUAUAAACAGUAGAAAUUUAUUUCUCAUAGAUCUGUAGGCUGUAAGUCCAAGAUUAAGACACCAGCAGAUUCAGUAUCUGGUAAAGACUGGCUUUCUGGAUCACAAACGACAAUCAUCUCACUGCAUUUUCACAUGCUGGAAGAGCUGAGUAAGCUCUCUGAGGUCUCUUUCCUAAGGGCACUAAUCCCAUUCAUGAGGGCUUUACCACCAUGACAUAAUCACCUCCAAGAAUCCCACCUCCAAAUGCUAUCACAUUAGACAUUAAGAAUUAGCAUGAAUUUUGGGGGAAACAAACAUUCUGUCUAUACAUGCACAAGACCAAGAACAAUAUCUGGCAAAAGUAGGCUAUCAAUAAAUUUCAAAUUUUUUAUUAUUAUUUGUUUCAACUGGCUUUCAUUUUUUAUUAGAUUGUGCUACAGUAACAAACAGUUCCCAAAUCUCAGUGACUUACAACAAAAAAGCUUAUCUCCUUGCUCACCUUGCAUGAGAGCUACAGCUCUGUUUCAAAUAGCUCCUUCUUCCCAUGAUCAGGCUGUUUGAGACACUGGUGUUCUUGUGGAAGAGGUAAAAAAUAUAUAGAUAUAGCAGAACAACGCAAUAGCUUCCAAGAUACCUACAGAACUUCUGCUCACAUUUCAUUGGACAAAGCAAGUCACAUGGCCAAUCUUGAUAUCCCUAGGGUAGAGAAGCAUAACCCACUCACAUAGAGGGGCAGUGAAAAGUGGGAAAUAAUAAUGCAGUCUACCACAUUAUCAAUCUAGUGCCAAAGCUGUGGUGCGUAAAACCACAUUCUUUGACAGCUGCGAUUUUGCUGGCUCAACAACACACCUUCUUAACUCCCAAAGUGACAAAUGGAGAGGGAGAUGUUUGAUCCAUCUGUGCCCCUGAUUUUCCACGUCCCUGAUUUUUCUACCCCUGAUUUAAGUGAUCACAACAGCAUUUUAUAUUUUUCCUUUCUUAAUCCUUCCUUCUCCUACAACUAGGGAGGCAGGAGAAAUGGGUUUGAUGGUUUUUAGGCUGCAAGGCCAUAGAAAAACUUUGGGGGUAGAUUGUGUUAUUGCUCUCAACUCUUUAUUCUCCCUUUGUACAAAAGAAGUGUAUGUCCUGCCUGUUUCCAUGAAUAUUCAGUGUCUCUUAUGAGAAAAAGAAUAUACAGCCCAGUCCUAUUGACAUAGGGCUUGGCCAUGUAACUUGCUUUGGCCAAUAAAGUGGAAAUAGAUAUAACUUAUGCCACAUUUAAACAGAAGCCCUUUGCCAUAAGAGUAGCACGUUGUAAACAGGGGUUCCUUCACCCUGUAUCCCAAGCAAAGUCACAUCCAACAGAAGCGAAGCUUUGUUGCUGCAAACCACAGAGCAUUGGGCAUCAUUUGUUACCACGGCAGAGAGAAUCAAUGUGCCUUUUGAUUUAGCACCAUCUGUCAUCACACACCCACCUCAAUCCUUUGAAGUUGGGAGGUGCAGAGCUCUAUUUCUUGUCCCUCCCUCCCUUAAUGGGCAUCAAGAUUCUUCACAGGGAAAAUGUUCCACAGAGCAUGGGAGCUUAGUUCUUCUGAGUGGCCAGUUUUGCCUCCUGUGGAAAUAGGCUCUUGUGAAUAACACCAGCAGUAGUGUCUUCUUCUCUUCCCCUCCAGUAUCAUACACUCAUAUUCAAUCCUUGAUAUCAAAUUUGAUUCUCCUCUGAUUUCUUGGCAUACUAAUUUUUUUCUGUUUCCUGCUUGGAUAACUUAUCUCAUGCUCUCCAGAAAUACUUCAUGAACUAGAGCAAAGAAAGGCAGGUAAAAGGGUACAAUAGUGACAAACAGGCAAGACCCUGCCCUCAUAGAGCUUAGAUUCUAGUAGGAAAGACAGACAAGAAAUGAUAAACAAAAACGCAACGUCAGAUGGUGAGGAGUGCUAUGUAAGAAAAAUAAAUCAAAUAAGGGGAAUAAGAAUGACAGAGUUUUACAUUAGCCUGGGUGGGCUGGAGCAACUGCAUGUGUUAACACACUUUAGCAUGGUACCACUAUGUCCACACACCGUAGACUAUGUCUUUGGCUAAACCACAGGAUGUCGCUAGCAAAAAUCCUGAGUGCUGACCAUUUUCAGUAUCUUUAGCACAUAUGGUAUCAGUCACACCUGAGAAUAUCCCACUGUGUUCUACUUGCUGCUUUGAGAACCCCAGUGCUGUCUUCUUUCUUAAUUGUAGACCAAUGUGUUGAUGACUCACCUCAGGUUUGUGUAUUGCAUUGUUUUAAAAUAUUUCUCUUUGUGCCUCAAAUUUAGAAGGGAACUCAAGACAGCAGUGAGGAAACAAGAAAUAGGAGAAAAUAUUUGUUUGCAUUUGGCAAAAGAGAAGCCGAAAAAGAGCCUGGGCUGUUGCACUUUACAACUUUGCUCCCUUCCUCCACCCCUCGAAUUGGGGUUCAUUUAUAACAGGGAAGCAGCUUGACAAGAAGCAAAUAUGACUUAUCUGUAAUAUUUUAUUUAUUUUAAAAAAGAAAGAAAGACUAGAACCAAAUCUGACUAAACUUAAAACUUACUAAUUUUGCAUGGUAGAAAGAUGAAUGUUUGUCAUGUGGGUCUUUAUUCCCUUCUAUGUUUAAAAUGUAUCUUUAAAAAAAGGUUCUAAAGGAAAAAGAAGAACAGAAGAUUCAAAACAUUUGAUCAGAACAUUUGGUACCAGCCCUUGCAUUACCAUGUCAGUCUAUGUGUCCCUGAGCAAGUUAUUGAAGUUCUCUAAGCCUUGUGAUCAUAAGACCUGUCUUUUAGGAUGUGGUUAAUAUUAAAUCAGAAUAUGUAUGCAGAACACCCAGCAUUGGACCUAGAUUCAUAUGUUCUUAAUUCAUGGUGGCCACUAUGGCUACUUUCUGAUUUCCCAAAAUGUGUCUGCUACAGUUUUAAAUGUAUAUUCUCUCCGAAAUUCCUGUUGUAACUUAAUCCCCACUGUGGUGGUGUAUUAGUCUGUCCUUAUACUGCUAAUAAAGACAUACCCAAGAUUGGGUAAUUUAUAAAAGAAAGAGGUUUAAUGGACUCACUCUUCCAGAUGGCUGGGGAGGCCUCACAAUCAUGGCAGAAGACGAAGGAAGAGUAAAGGAACAUCUUAUGUGGUGACAGGAAAGAGAGCUUGUGUAGGGAAACUCUCCUUUAUAAAACCAUCAGAUCUCAUGAGACUUAUUCAAUAUCAUGAGGACAGCACAGGAAAGGCCCGUCCAAUGAUUCACUUACCUCCCACUGGGUCCCUCCCAUGACACGUGGGAAUUAUGGGAACUACAGUUAAAGAAGAGAUUUGCGUGGAGACACAGUCAAACCUUAUCAGGUGGUAUUAAGAGACAGGGCCUUUGUGGAAUGAAUUAAAGCACUUAUAAAAGAGGCUUCAGAGACCGUCUUCCCUCUCUUUUCCUUCCACCCCUCUGCCAUGUGAGGACACGGCAUCCCUUCCCUCCUGAGGAUCCAGCCACAAGAUGCCAUCUUGGAAGCAGAGAGACAGGGCCCUCACCAGCCACCACCUUGAUCUUGGACUGCUCAGAUUCCAGGACUAUGAGAAAUAAGUUUC
rnacentral:lncRNA from 10 species